AUGGAGGCUGAAGGCGAUCCGCAGUGGGGCCCCAGCCAUUCGGAUUGAGCCUUCUCCCUCCAACCGCUUCCGCAGGCCGGGCCCCUCCUGCCCUGCCCCUCUGGCCUCCCCACCCGGCCCCAGCCGCCCCCACUGCGCCCAUUGCGCCCGCCCCUUCCCGGCCGCUUUCCCUUCUCCCUCCGCCUCGGCUCCAACAUGAGGGGCCGGCGGGGCAGGCCGACCAAGCAGCCCGCGGCUCCCUCUGCGGAGCGCUGCGCCCCGGCCCCGCCGCCGCUGCCGCUGCCCACGUCCGGACCCAUCCGGGGUUCCGCUCGCGGCAACGCGGUAGCAGCCCGGGCAGGUGGGUCGCCGCCAGGCUGAGGUGGCGCCCAAGACGCGCCUGAGCUCGCCCAGGAUGGGCAGCAGUAGCCGGAGAAAGCCGCCGCCGCCGGCCCCACCCCAGCACCAGCGCCCCGGCCGGGGGGAGGCGGGGGCAGCCACCUGGCCCGGACGGCUGCGGUCUGGAGGGCUGUCAACAAAGUGGUGUAGGAGGACGCCAGUUACUGCACGGAAAGCAGCGUCAGGAGCCAUAGUACCUACAGCAGCACUCCAGAAAUUUCCAAGGAAACUAUAUUUCUUACAUUGAUGGAAAUGUAUGGAAAGCAUACAGUUGGACUGAGAAACUAAUUCUCAGAGAAAAUAACUUGACUGAAUUACACAAGGAUUCAUUUGAAGGCCUGCUAUCCCUCCAGUAUUUAGAUUUAUCCUGCAAUAAAAUACAGUCUAUUGAAAGACAUACAUUUGAACCACUACCAUUUUUGAAGUUUAUAAAUCUUAGUUGCAAUGUAAUUACAGAACUCAGCUUUGGAACAUUUCAGGCCUGGCACGGAAUGCAGUUUUUACAUAAGUUGUAAGUGAAAUAGAAGAUGAAUACAUGUAAACAACUAUUUAUGUACAAAAACUCAUACAAUUAUUGGGUAGCUGGGUAUAAGCCCAUUAUCAACUCUGAAAAGCGUGUCUUAAGAUCCAUUCAUUUUUCUCAAAUGGGGAAGCUAAGGUACAAAGAGGCCAAGAGACUUACGUAGCUUAUAUAUGACCUCCUCUGCUUGUCCUAGUUCUGACCUAUAGCAUGGGCAAGAAAAGGCAUCAAAGAAGUGACCCUCAAAUUAGCCUUGUUGCUGGGCGGGGUGGCUCAGACCUGUAAUCCCAGAACUUUGGGAGCCGAGGUGGGUGGAUCACCCGAGGUCAGGAAUUCAACACCAGCCUGGCCAACAUAGUGAAACCCUGUCCCUACUAUAAAUAC
rnacentral:lncRNA from 1 species